UACGUAUGGGGCAAGCGUUAUCCGGAAUUAUUGGGCGUAAAGAGUGCGUAGGUGGUUACCUAAGCGCAAGGUUUAAUCUUGAGGCUCAACCUCAUUCUGCCUUGCGAACUGGGCUACUUGAGUGCAGGAGGGGAAAGCGGAAUUCCCAGUGUAGCGGUGAAAUGCGUAGAUAUUGGGAAGAACACCGGUGGCGAAGGCGGCUUUCUGGACUGUAACUGACACUGAGGCACGAAAGCGUGGGGAGCAAACAGGAUUAGAUACCCCCGUAGUCCCUGA
rnacentral:rRNA from 1 species